rnacentral:rRNA from 1 species
UACGGAGGGUGCGAGCGCUGUUCGGAAUCACUGGGCGUAAAGGGCGUGUAGGCGGUCCUCUAAGUCUGAUGUGAAAGCCCGGGGCUCACCCCCGGAAGUGCAUUGGAAACUGGCGGACUCGAGUCCCGGAGAGGAGAGUGGAAUUCCUGGUGUAGCGGUGAAAUGCGUAGAUAUCAGGAGGAACACCGGUGGCGAAGGCGGCUCUCUGGACGGUGACUGACGCUGAGACGCGAAAGCGUGGGGAGCAAACAGG